CAUGGUUCGCAAAAUAAGCUAUAGACCAUGAGAAACACUGAAAAAAUGAUAUUCAGUCCAUGAUGGACCGCGAGAAACCGAGGGGAAAUGCCCCUUCGGUCUACAUACCCCUUUGUGCACCGUCGAUCCACCGUGGACCGAGAUGCUCGUACGUUGAGCCCGCACGCAUAUGCGUUGGCCUGGGCCGUGCCUGCACCCAUGCGCCUGGGCUUAGGCC
rnacentral:lncRNA from 1 species